rnacentral:miRNA from 1 species
UCCGUCGGGGGCCUGGCACACA